UGCUUAGCAAAGUCUAGACAGUGCCUUAGCCC
rnacentral:piRNA from 1 species